rnacentral:ncRNA from 1 species
CCCAGACAGCCAGGAUGUUGGCUUAGAAGCAGCCAUCAUUUAAAGAAAGCGUAAUAGCUCACUGGUCGAGUCGGCCUGCGCGGAAGAUGUAACGGGGCUAAACCAUGGCACCGAAGCUGCGGCAGCGACACUCAGGUGUUGUUGGGUAGGGGAGCGUUCUGUAAGCCUGCGAAGGUGGCCUGUGAGGGUUGCUGGAGGUAUCAGAAGUGCGAAUGCUGACAUAAGUAACGAUAAAGCGGGUGAAAAGCCCGCUCGCCGGAAGACCAAGGGUUCCUGUCCAACGUUAAUCGGGGCAGGGUGAGUCGACCCCUAAGGCGAGGCCGAAAGGCGUAGUCGAUGGGAAACGGGUUAAUAUUCCCGUACUUGGUGUUACUGCGAAGGGGGGACGGAGAAGGCUAUGUUGGCCGGGCGACGGUUGUCCCGGUUUAAGCGUGUAGGCUGGUUUUCCAGGCAAAUCCGGAAAAUCAAGGCUGAGGCGUGACGACGCUGAGACUGCGGUGCUGAAGCAACAAAUGCCCUGCUUCCAGGAAAAAGCCUCUAAGCAUCAGGUAACAUCAAAUCGUACCCCAAACCGACACAGGUGGUCAGGUAGAGAAUACCAAGGCGCUUGAGAGAACUCGGGUGAAGGAACUAGGCAAAAUGGUGCCGUAACUUCGGG